AUACGGAGGGUGCAAGCGUUACUCGGAAUUACUGGGCGUAAAGGACGCGUAGGCGGUUUAGAAAGUCAGAUGUGAAAGCCUAUGGCUUAACCAUAGAACUGCAUCUGAAACUCCUAGACUAGAGUGAGGGAGAGGUCAGUGGAAUUAGUGGUGUAGGGGUAAAAUCCGUAGAGAUCACUAGGAAUACUCAUAGCGAAGGCGACUGACUGGAACUUUACUGACGCUGAGGCGUGAAAGCGUGGGGAGCAAACAGGAGUAGAUACCCUAGUAGUCC
rnacentral:rRNA from 1 species